UGGUGUUCUCAUUGUGUUCUCGUAUUUGAUACUAUUGUUACAUUUAAUAUCGCGUGCAUUGUCUUUGUUUUUAAUAUUAUUGUCGUAUGUAUUCUGUGCCUUGAUGUAUUUACAAUUAUUAUCUUUCGUUUCCCGCCCAUUUUUAUACAUUACCUCGUUGUUCAUUAUUUCAAAAGGUUUAUUCGUGUUUUCAUUUAUUUCAAUAAGCAAGGCAACGUAUCGAUUUAAACACCAUGUCAUCGAUUUCAUCGCUAUGUUGGGUGAAUAUCAAAUGACUCGUGUUAAAACGGUAUAUCCUUCUCAAAAACAUAAAAAUUAAAAUUUCUCG
rnacentral:lncRNA from 1 species